ACUGUAAAUGACUGAAUGUUCUGUUCUCUGUGUGGGAAAUGCUUCCGUGUCUUUCGGCGUUGAAUCCUGACACAUAAAGUGGCGUUGUUGUCGGUUGCUAUGGCAACGUGUUUGGGGAAAAAAGAAGAAUAGGAUUGGUUUUGAGUUGUUCUUCAACAGUUUUUCUGCGGUAUUUUUCGCUUUGCUGCAGCUCACUGCACUACAUCAGUAAUAGCUUCAUCUCCACGUUUUACUUAUUUAACUGGAUUUUUGUACCGAGGUAGCGCGGCUGUAAGAAUCGCCUUUUUUCUGCUCCAGACACGACUCGGAUUCAUUCGAGAACAGGAGGGGAAGAGAAGUGUCUGCCGCGGCCGUGCAGUUCGUGCCUAAAGUUAACUCUGAGGGCCGAGCCGGAGAUAAGGGCGCUCCACAUCACCUCGUGGCGUUAAUGAUCGUCCGCAGUUACAUCACAAAGGCAGUCAAGUAGCAGAUAGAGCACAGAAAUAAUUUAAGCUCCGCUAAGUGGUCUAUUGUCAUUCAAAUGCUAAAUGAAUGAAUUAUGCUUGGCAGAGAU